rnacentral:rRNA from 1 species
AACAGGUUAAUAUUCCUGUACUUGGUGUUACUGCGAAGGGGGGACGGAGAAGGCUAUGUUGGCCGGGCGACGGUUGUCCCGGUUUAAGCGUGUAGGCUGGUUUUCCAGGCAAAUCCGGAAAACCAAGGCUGAGGCGUGAUGACGAGGCACUACGGUGCUGAAGUGACAAAUGCCCUGCUUCCAGGAAAAGCCUCUAAGCAUCAGGUAACAUCAAAUCGUACCCCAAACCGACACAGGUGGUCAGGUAGAGAAUACCAAGGCGCUUGAGAGAACUCGGGUGAAGGAACUAGGCAAAAUGGUGCCGUAACUUCGGGAGAAGGCACGCUGAUAUGUAGGUGAAGCGACUUGCUCGUGGAGCUGAAAUCAGUCGAAGAUACCAGCUGGCUGCAACUGUUUAUUAAAAACACAGCACUGUGCAAACACGAAAGUGGACGUAUACGGUGUGACGCCUGCCCGGUGCCGGAAG